rnacentral:rRNA from 1 species
UUUUGCGCAAUGGGCGAAAGCCUGACGCAGCGACGCCGCGUGAGGGAUGAAGGCCUUCCCCCUCGUAAACCUCUUUUGAUGGGGACGAAAAAAAUGACGGUACCCAUCGAAUAAGCACCGGCUAACUCUGUGCCAGCAGCCGCGGUAAUACAGAGGGUGCAAGCGUUAUUCGGAUUUACUGGGCGUAAAGGGCGCGUAGGCGGUCUAGUUAGUCUGUUGUGAAAGCCCUGGGCUUAAUCCAGGAAGUGCAGCGGAUACUGCUAGGCUCGAGUGCAGGAGAGGAGGACGGAAUUCCCGGUGUAGAGGUGAAAUUCGUAGAUAUCGGGAGGAACAACAGAAGCGAAGGCGGUUCCCUGAGCUUAACUACGCGAGGCGCGAAA